UUUCAGAAUCUUUUACAUAUUCUGUUUUUGUUGAUUUUUCUGAUAUCCCUUCACUAGUGUGAGGCAAACAGUGUGAAGAUCGAAACACCUUCAGAUCCAGCGCAACCAGCUACGGGAGAAAAUGGAAAAGUUCAGCCUGAGCAGGAAGGCGAGGCAGCCGCACCGGCCAAAGCUUCCUGCAGCCUGGAGGAGAUCAGAGCAGAGAUCAAGGCCAAGAUUGAAGAGGAAGCCUACAAUAAAGGGUAUCAGGAAGGACUGAAGAGACUGAAAGAGCUUCAGGAAGUGAAGGAGGAGGAAGAGAAAGCAGAAGAAAAGCUGAUUGAGUCUGAGGAGAUAACUGGAGAAGAUUUUGAAAAAAAAAAGAAGCCAAACAGGUAACUGUUUAAAACCUGUAUACAUGAAUUUAAUAAUCCAAUAACUGCAGAAA
rnacentral:lncRNA from 1 species